rnacentral:rRNA from 1 species
UACAGAGGGGGCAAGCGUUGUUCGGAAUUACUGGGCGUAAAGGGCGCGUAGGCGGCGUGUUAAGUCACUUGUGAAAUCUCUGAGCUUAACUCAGAACGGUCAAGUGAUACUGAUGUGCUAGAGUGCAGAAGGGGCAACCGGAAUUCUUGGUGUAGCGGUGAAAUGCGUAGAUAUCAAGAGGAACACCUGAGGUGAAGACGGGUUGCUGGGCUGACACUGACGCUGAGGCGCGAAAGCUAGGGUAGCAAACGGG